CCAUCCUGAACGCGCCCGAUCUCAUCUGAUCUCUGAAGCUAAGUAGGGUCGGGCCUGGUUAGAACUUGGAUGGGAGACAGCCUGGGAAUACCCGAU
rnacentral:rRNA from 1 species